AACAGCAAAUAGGAGGUGCUAAUUAGAGCUUGUGAACCUGGUCCUUCUCUGCAGAUCAUUCCUCUUGUACUGCUGAAAGCACUAGAUGAAGGGAUCAUCUAGUCUGAAAGAACCCUGAUCUAUUUCUCCAGCAAAAUAAAUCAAAAAGUUGUGGAAAGAAAAAAAAAAAUCAUAAACAGCCUCAUAAAUGGAAACUCAUUUUCCGGCCUCCUACCUGGAUUGCUCCCAAGUAGGGCAGAGUGUGUCUUGGAGAGAGAAAAGAAGUCUUGAUGCAUUUCUUGUCCAGCAAUAUAACUGGAAAAAAAAAAACAACUCUACUUUGCCAAACUGAUAGCGUAACAUAACAUAAUUGGCAGAAUGACUGUGAAGACAUAAGAAAAGGCACAACACCUGAGAAGACUUUGGCCAGUGGAGGAAUGCAUGCCAGAGCUGUGAAUUAAGAAUUCAGGAGUAACAGAAGAUAACGAACCACUGUUAAUUGGCAAUUAAUGAAAUUGAAUGGAAUUUCUCAACUGUUUGGUUGAGUUUCUUGAAUUUGUUCCUGAACCUUGAUAAUAUUGUCAUCUUAAAGUCUUCUUGUUUUCCUCAGUGGAGUCCCAGUCUGUCCUUAUAAGUCAACUGUUUCACCCACUUGAUAUUUUCAGUUACCCUUCUGGGACCUUUUCUAAGUCCAUUACAUCCUUUCUGAAGUGUGGAGGCCACAUGUGCAUUCAAUAUUCAAGAUUUGAUUAUGGCAACAUUUUAUGCAGUUGCAAAAUGAAAAACUUUGUUUCUGGUACCUUUCCUGAAUGGUGGCUAAUGAUCUGUUGGCUUUUUUGGCCACUGCUGCCUGUUUAGUUCACUGAUUUUAGAAGGCAGUUGUAGACAAUUCCAGUGUCCAGUUCUUGAGUUGUAACAGCCUCAAGUUGAGUGUCAUGUUGGUAUGGCCUAAAUUUCCCUACCUCUACACAAUGCAUUCUCAUACUUUUAUCUUAUCUACAUGGAAGGUCUUCUGCCACGUUUCAUCCAUGUUCCAGAGUUUAGUGACAUCCUACUUGAGCUACUUGCCGUAGGCAUGGCACUAACUACCUGAAAGAGUGUGAUAUUAUCCAUUGGGUGAUUACUUUUUCUCUCCUUUCUACAGAUCAUUGAUCAAGAUGAAUAAAACUGUUGUCUUCUGCCCACUUGAUCAUGCAUACCCUUUCCAUCCUCAGAAUUUUCCUUUAGUCUGUGUACUUUUCUCCUCUAUAAAAGAGGACUCCAGACUUGUGGCUGCUUGACUUCUUUAGUAGCAUAACUACGUAAAGCAAGAUCUAUGCAAAUUAUAGAUGUGUGACUUGUUCUAUUCAGUUCUGGAGAGUUCACUUUGUUUCUGUUGUGUUUGUGUACUACCUUUUCUGAUAAAUAAUUCAACAAAAACUCUGAAAACACAAUAAUUGAAGUACCUAAGGUAUACAUUCCUAGGAACAUUUAUAACUGAAAUGUAAUAUGAGUGUAAGAGGAUACCUUUAGAGGUUCCUAUUAGCAUUAAUAAGUUAAAGAGUAGUAUUUAUAGCAUGCUGUGGGGAUUAUAACUUCUUGCACACUUGGAAUAAACCUCAGUAAAAAGUAAAAUCUUUGAGGUAUAACAGAUAAUGUUUAGAGAGAAUAUUUAGAAUCAAAGAAUUGUCUGAGUUGGAAAAGACUUUAAAAGUCAUCAGGUUCACUCCUUAACCUCACCUACCUACUCCCAUCACUUAGCUGUGUCCCUUAAUGCCUCAUUUUGUAUACCAUAAUUGGUUCAGGCGCUUCUGCUGAAUUACAGUAAGCAACAGUUUAUAUUUCAUAAUGUGAUGUGGCUAGUGAAGAGUAAACAAUGUAAAAUAUGAAAUGUUAGCUCUGUUAAAGUUGAAAGAAGUUUCACUAUGAAGUGGAGCAACCAACUCGAUAGUCAGUGUUU
rnacentral:lncRNA from 1 species